GACGGAGGGUGCUAGCGUUGUUCGGAAUUACUGGGCGUAAAGGGCGCGUAGGCGGCUGCUCAAGUCGGGUGUGAAAGCCCGGGGCUCAACCCCGGAACGGCACCCGAGACUGGGCGGCUCGAGACCGGGAGAGGUGGGUGGAAUACCCAGUGUAGAGGUGAAAUUCGUAGAUAUUGGGUGGAACACCGGUGGCGAAAGCGGCUCACUGGCCCGGUACUGACGCUGAGGUGCGAAAGCGUGGGGAGCAAACAGG
rnacentral:rRNA from 1 species